rnacentral:lncRNA from 1 species
CGUCAACAGGGAGCACCUGUCCCCAAACCAGCUCAGCAGACAGGACGUCCACCUGGUGAAGGGAGCCAUGGCUGCCACCUACUUCGCUCUCAACAGAGCCCCUCAGGCCCCGCGGCUGGAGCCCGUGCUGUCGUCCAACCUGGCCCAGCGCCGGGGCAUGAAGAGACUCACGUCCACGCGGCUGUAGCCAAGCCCCGCGCCUUCUCCUGCAGCCCGGAGAGGAUCGGACGGUGACCCCCCGGACGCGCGGCCAGGACGACCUGCCCCCUCCGCCCCCGCCAACCAGACGGAGUCCUUCCUGCACCCCUGACCGUGCCGAGAACCCGGGGGCUCCUCCCGGCCCGUGAGCCUUGCACAUGGCUUGUGUUUCUGUGGAGAGAUGGCUCCUCCAGCUGUAAAGUCAGCAACCUGGUCCCACCUCCGGCACACGCAGCCUGGAUGUCACCGCGAGGAGGGGGCGGUUCCCGCCCCCCGCUUGGACCGACACCCCGCCUUCUCUCCUGUUGCAGAGCUGGGGAGGGGCGAGGAAACCUCAGAACCAGUGGCCGCGUUUCACAAGCAUCGCUGGUGUCCUCUCGCCCGGGAAGGAGCCAGCCGAAGCCUGUGCCCCCUGACGAGGACCGGGGACUGGCGGAGGGCUGCUCCACUCCUGUCCCGAACUUGCGAGAGGUCCUGGGCUCCCCCGAGUGCCGGCUCUCCCUUUCCUGGUCCGUGGAAGCGCCGCGGUGGCCGCCGGAAACCCCGAGCCCGGUUGCCUCCAUCCGCCCUCUCUCUGUUCCCCUGGAGACCUCUGCCGCGCCCCCGCCCCGCCCGCGAGAGAGGCCAGCAGCAGGAUGCUCGCAGAGGGCAGGGGGGCCCUUUGUGGAAGCUGUGCUUUUGUGCCGUGUGUUGUGUUUCUGUCGCACAGGGCUGUUCUCAGCUGAAGCGUCAGGGAUGUUUAAUGUCUCUGCUGGGCGUGUGCACGCGGGAGUGGGCGUCGUCCGGCAGCGCUGGGCCCCCCUGCACUCAGGCGGGGACGGCGCGCCUGUUUUCAGCCAGGUUCUCACCUAGAAGACAGGAUUUAAAAGUCACUCUGGCACUCAACCCCAAAAUCAACGAAUGCCGCACUCUAAAACUAUAG